GGCUCAGAACGAACGCUGGCGGCGUGCUUAACACAUGCAAGUCGAACGAGAAGUCUGUAGCAAUACAGAUUGUAAAGUGGCGCACGGGUGAGUAACACGUGGGUAAUCUGCCCUCGAGUUUGGGAUAACCCCGCGAAAGCGGGGCUAAUACCGAAUAAGACCACGGGGACCAAAGUCCCUGAGGUAAAAGGUGGCCUCUAUUUAUAAGCUACCACUUGAGGAUGAGCCCGCGGCCCAUUAGCUAGUUGGCAGGGUAACGGCCUACCAAGGCGAUGAUGGGUAGCUGGUCUGAGAGGACGAUCAGCCACACUGGAACUGAGACACGGUCCAGACUCCUACGGGAGGCAGCAGUGGGGAAUAUUGCGCAAUGGGCGAAAGCCUGACGCAGCAACGCCGCGUGGGGGAUGAAGGUUCUCGGAUUGUAAACCCCUUUCGACCGGAACGAAUCCCCUCCUGGUAAAUAAUCAGGAGGAUUGACGGUACCGGGAGAAGAAGCCACGGCUAACUCUGUGCCAGCAGCCGCGGUAAGACAGAGGUGGCUAGCGUUGUUCGGAUUUAUUGGGCGUAAAGCGCACGCAGGCGGUUUGGUAAGUCAGAGGUGAAAGCCCGCAGCUUAACUGCGGAAUUGCCUCUGAUACUGCCUUUCUUGAGUGCAUGAGGGGGAAGCGGAAUUCCGAGUGUAGAGGUGAAAUUCGUAGAUAUUCGGAGGAACACCGGUGGCGAAGGCGGCUUCCUGGCAUGUAACUGACGCUCAUGUGCGAAAGCGUGGGGAGCAAACAGGAUUAGAUACCCUGGUAGUCCACGCCCUAAACGAUGGGCACUAGGUGUGGGAGGUAUCGACCCCUUCCGUGCCGCAGCUAACGCAUUAAGUGCCCCGCCUGGGGAGUACGGCCGCAAGGUUG
rnacentral:rRNA from 1 species